ensembl:processed_transcript Gm13562 predicted gene 13562
UGUCCUAGAGUACUCAGAUGGCCGCCUGUGGGGACUUGCCCGGGGGCUAAGGCUAGGCUCCUAAAAGCAGCAGGGGCUGCAACCUGGGUCCCUUUGUGGGGAGGAUUUAGGGAAAUGGUCUGUAGGUUGGGGGGCUGCUUGUCUGUGGCUGAGAUCCCACCCACCGGCCAGGAGCCAGAAGGACUUGAACUGACCAUCACCGGCGCCACAGGUAGAGUGGCCCAACUGCUCGUGCUCAAACUCUUCAGGGAUAGUCCUGCCUGUCCUUCACAGACCUGCCCUCCCAAGGACCCCUUCAGGAUACUCUGCUAUGGAUCAAGGAGCGGCACUUGCUCCCACCCUGGCUCCAGGAAGUUCCCCAAAGUGCUCUGGGCAGUACCUUUAGUCUGAACGGUUGCAGGUCUCCGGGGAGCUUGUGUGCAGGCCAGGUUGAUGUCACCCACCCAGGGUAUCACAGCCAGCAAAAGCCUGUGCUUAAGGAGCCUGCGAUGUAGAGCCUGUCUCUUGCGUCUCUGCUUAUUCUGAUGCUGUUUCUUCUGAGGGGAGGAAUAGGCUGCCUCAGGUCUCAGAUACCCAGGCAUAUAGGUAACAGAGAAACAGGACACCCUAUGGAGAAGUUCCUUAAGGAAGAACACCUCCAGGGACAGAGCACACUGGGGCUGAGGUAUGCUUUCCCUCUGUCCUUGG